GCCCGGAUGGCGGAAUCGGUAGACGCAGCGGUCUUAAACACCGCGGCCCUCGGGCGUGCAGGUUCGAGUCCUGCUCCGGGCA
rnacentral:tRNA from 1 species